AUUGAACGCUGGCGGCAUGCUUUACACAUGCAAGUCGAACGGUAACAGGUUAAGCUGACGAGUGGCGAACGGGUGAGUAAUGCAUCGGAACGUGCCCGAUCGUGGGGGAUAACGCAGCGAAAGCUGCGCUAAUACCGCAUACGAUCUGAGGAUGAGAGCGGGGGACCGUAAGGCCUCGCGCGAUCGGAGCGGCCGAUGUCAGAUUAGGUAGUUGGUGGGGUAAAGGCCCACCAAGCCGACGAUCUGUAGCUGGUCUGAGAGGACGACCAGCCACACUGGGACUGAGACACGGCCCAGACUCCUACGGGAGGCGGCAGUGGGGAAUUUUGGACAAUGGGCGAAAGCCUGAUCCAGCAAUGCCGCGUACAGGAAGAAGGCCUUCGGGUUGUAAACUGCUUUUGUACGGAGCGAAAAGGUCCUUUCUAAUACAGGGGGCUCAUGACGGUACCGUAAGAAUAAGCACCGGCUAACUACGUGCCAGCAGCCGCCGUAA
rnacentral:rRNA from 1 species